AUUGAACGCUGGCGGCAUGCUUUACACAUGCAAGUCGAACGGCAGCACGGGCUUCGGCCUGGUGGCGAGUGGCGAACGGGUGAGUAAUAUAUCGGAACGUACCCAGAAGUGGGGGAUAACGUAGCGAAAGUUACGCUAAUACCGCAUACGAUCUAUGGAUGAAAGCAGGGGACCGCAAGGCCUUGUGCUCCUGGAGCGGCCGAUAUCUGAUUAGCUAGUUGGUGAGGUAAAGGCUCACCAAGGCGACGAUCAGUAGCUGGUCUGAGAGGACGACCAGCCACACUGGAACUGAGACACGGUCCAGACUCCUACGGGAGGCAGCAGUGGGGAAUUUUGGACAAUGGGCGCAAGCCUGAUCCAGCAAUGCCGCGUGAGUGAAGAAGGCCUGCGGGUUGUAAAGCUCUUUUGUCAGGGAAGAAACGGUAGAGGCUAAUAGCCUUUGCUAAUGACGGUACCUGAAGAAUAAGCACCGGCUAACUACGU
rnacentral:rRNA from 1 species